rnacentral:rRNA from 1 species
CUACGUAGGUGACAAGCGUUAUCCGGAUUUACUGGGCGUAAAGGGCGUGUAGGCGGUCUUGCAAGUCAGAAGUGAAAUUCCUGAGCUCAACUCGGGCGCUGCUUCUGAAACUGCAGGACUUGAGUGCUGGAGGGGAUAGCGGAAUUCCUAGUGGAGCGGUAAAAUGCGCAGAUAUUAGGAAGUACACCGGUGGCGAAGGCGGCUAUCUGGACAGUAACUGACGCUGAGGCGCGAAAGCGUGGGGAGCAAACAGGAUUAGAUACCCUGGUAGUCCGCGCCGUAAACGAUGAAUACUAGGUGUAGGGGGUAUCGACUCCCUCUGUGCCGCAGUUAACACAAUAAGUAUUCCGCCUGGGGAGUACGGCCGCAAGGUUGAAACUCAAAUGAAUGGACGGGG